UCCGUAGGGGGCAAGCGUUGUCCGGAAUCAUUGGGCGUAAAGAGCGUGUAGGCGGCCAUACAGGUCAGCUGUGAAAACUCGAGGCUCAACCUCGAGACGUCGGUUGAAACCGUAUGGCUAGAGUCCGGAAGAGGAGAGUGGAAUUCCCGGUGUAGCGGUGAAAUGCGCAGAUAUCGGGAAGAACACCUAUGGCGAAGGCAGCUCUCUGGGACGGUACUGACGCUGAGACGCGAAAGCGUGGGGAGCGAACAGG
rnacentral:rRNA from 1 species